AGAGGGCUUCCCCGCAAAGCCGCAGGAAGAGGAAGAAAAAUGGCAUCAGAGGCCCGUGCCACCCUCCCCAAACUAAAGGCUGCCUCCUCUCCAGGACUUGGCAGUGUCUGACCUGGAGGUGUUCCAAGCGUGCGAAAUCCCCAGAAGUGCCAGCAGGAAAAGGCCCAGGACGGUCGGGAUGAGGAUGUGAAAUCCUUGGCCUUCCCUCCCAGACUGUGAGCCAUAGUCCAGUGCUCUGGGGAGGGAAGGAAAGGGAGAGAGAGAGGAAGAGAUUAUUAAAGGAAGUAGGUUGAGGGCGUGCUCCUGUGUGGACAACGUUUUCGGAGAGGACUUACAGAAUUCUACACAAGGCUCUGGGCAAUGUGAUCUACAGUUUGUGCCCCAUGCACUGGGCGCUUGGGAGGCCCACCCCAGCAUUUGCAGGAUCUGGGGCAGGUGUUGGACAAUGAGAACACAUGGACAUGGGAGAGCAUCACACACUGAGUGUCGAUUGCUGCUGCUGCUUAUCCCAGUAGAUAUGGAUCCAGAAACUGCAUGAUUUGGCCAUUGAUUGGAUCAAGGCCUGAAUGUGGAUAAACGAGAAGAGGUGGAUAAAAGAGCCUCCUCACUGAAUUUCCCACCUGAGAAAGGCUAUGUGGUCAGAAGUGUGGGCCUGAAGUCAGAAGAUGCAGGCUGUAGUCCUUACCAGUCACCUGUUCACUCAUCUUUACAGACAUUUUUGAGCACCUGCUAUGGGGGUAAACUAACUAUGGACUUUGAGGAAUCCUUUACUUUUCUCUGAGCCUGAAGUUUUUCAACUAGGAAAUAAAUGAAGCUGGAACUAGAUGAUCCCUGGCAUUUCCUCCUGCAGGGCAUAGUUCCUGGGGCCUUCACCGUAGCUCCCCAGCACCUC